rnacentral:rRNA from 1 species
GGGGGCAAGCGUUGUUCGGAAUUACUGGGCGUAAAGGGCUCGUAGGUGGCCAACUAAGUCAGACGUGAAAUCCCCAGGCUUAACCUGGGAACUGCGUCUGAUACUGGAUGGCUUGAGUUUGGGAGAGGGAUGCGGAAUUCCAGGUGUAGCGGUGAAAUGCGUAGAUAUCUGGAGGAAUACCGGUGGCGAAGGCGGCAUCCUGGACCGGCAUUGACGCUGAUGAGCGAAAGCUAGGGGAGCAAACGGG